rnacentral:rRNA from 1 species
AUACGGAGGAUCCGAGCGUUAUCCGGAUUUAUUGGGUUUAAAGGGUGCGCAGGCGGCCAUUUAAGUCAGCGGUUAAAUCGUGGGGCUCAACCCCAUUCUGCCGUUGAUACUGGGUGGCUUGAUUGCGGUCGAGGUUGGCGGAAGUAGUGGUGUAGCGGUGAAAUGCUUAGAUAUCACGAAGAACUCCGAUUGCGAAGGCAGCUUGCUGGACUGUAACUGACGCUGAUGCUCGAAAGUGUGGGUAUCAAACAGGAUUAGAUACCCUGGUAGUCCACACAGUAAACGAUGAAUACUCGCUGUUUGCGAUAUACAGUAAGCGGCCAAGCGAAAGCGUUAAGUAUUCCACCUGGGGAGUACGCCGGCAACGGUGAAACUCAAAUGAAUUGACGGGG